CCAAAAACAUCGCCUCUUGCUCAAACAUAAGAGGUCCAGCCUGCCCAGUGACAAAGUUCAACGGCCACGGUAUCCUAACCGUGCGAAGGUAGCAUAAUCACUUGUUCUUUAAAUGGGGACUUGUAUCAACGGCACCACGAGGGUUAGACUGUCUCCUUUUUCAAAUCAGUGAAAUUAAUCUCCCCGUGAAGAAGCGGGGAUACUCAUAUAAGACGAGAAGACCCCAUGGAGCUUCAAACCCAACUACACCCCUAGCUCUUAUAGCCCCACAACCCCCCUAGGCGCCGUGUGCUUGGUUUUAGGUUGGGGCGACCGCGGAGUACAAUAAAACCUCCACAAUGAAUGGGAACACCCCCUUAUCUGAGGGCCACACCCCCUAAGAAUUAGAACACUAACAUAAAAUGAUCCAUUACUUGAUCAAUGAACCAAGUUACCCUGGGGAUAACAGCGCAAUCCAUUUCAAGAGCCCCUAUCGACAAAUGGGUUUACGACCUCGAUGUUGGAUCAGGGUACCCCAGUGGUGCAGCAGCUACUAACGGUUCGUUUGUUCAACGAUUAAAACCCU
rnacentral:rRNA from 1 species